UGUGGGGGGGAGGUCGUCCGGGAUGUCUGGGAUGUGUGUGGUGUGUCCAGACCGUGUCUGUGGUAUCGGGGUGGCGUCCGGAGCUCCAUCCUGCUGGGACAGCUCGGGCUCCCCAGAGUAGACCACUGCUCGGGUGGGAAGGCCUGCCUGUUCAUCUCCCUGCCCCCCUGGGCACACGCCGGCUGAACAUGAGCCCAGUUGCGCCCAGAUGGGCAAGGAGCCCAAUGGCACGUGGGCUGUACCAGCCACAGUGUGGCCAGUGGAACCAGGGCAGUGACCACCCACCUGUGGUGGGGCACCUCUAGUCCUGGGGUUUGAUCAGCUGAACACUGCCUUUGAGAGGUUUACAGGACAUCCUUCAAUGUCCUGACUGUGCUUGAGCAGAAGUCAUGCUUUCUGUGGCAGACGGAUGAGCAAGGCCAGGGAUGGGCAGUGGUACAAGAUGAAUGAUGCCUCAAGACUUCUCUCUGCCAAAAUACAUAUUUACUUUUCUAUGCCAGGAGAGAAUGACUUUGUCCAGGUGAGUUCUGUCUGUCCUGCCAUUUCUUCUCCCUUGCAGUCUGGCACUAAACUGGGCUUGUGUAAAUUGCCAGAUGCAUGCUCUCUGAGAAGAGCCAGCUGUGAAAAGGGGCAAAAUGGACAUCUGAGAGUACAAAGAUGAGUCACUGCCUGAAAGGGCCAGACAUGGCUGGAAAACUGUGAUCUAUUUUCCAAAGCCUUGUGCUGCUUUAGUCUUCUGCAUGUCAUGUCAAAUGUGCCAGAAAAUGACAGGGCUGAAGCCUCAAGGAGACUGCAAGAAAUGAAGGAGGUGUAAAAAGCCCACACACACUGAGGAGGGGGAGAACUUGAAUAGAAGCCAGCCAGACAUUCUACCUCCCAGGAAAUGCAGGGCACCCUCACUACCAGCUGGGACAUGGCCAUGGGAACCUGCUUAGCUGUUUCCACAGGGAGAGAAAGAGCCUCCUGAUGGCAGAAGUUCAGGGGAGGAUGGUGCAAGAAUGAAGAAAGGGAACUUUCUUCGUUCAUCAUCAAGAGAGGAGAACUAAAAAGUAGCAACAUUGCAACAGUUGCCUCACUCCUUGCCAAUCAUUUCAAGUGCAUAUGGCUUCUGUAUAGACCUGUUCAGUACUGGUCACCAAGCUUCCCAGCAUAACCUGCCAGUGACCAUUAAAGGCUGCAGAUAUCUCAGAAGAAUGUUGACCAUUAAACCUGACAUUUAUGAUUGAAACAAUAAAACCAUCAAACCAAACCCAGUCCCAAGUGGUGCUUCUGAUUGUC